CCCUUUAGACUCUCUCUCGUCACUCUCCCUCCCCCUCCCUUUUUCUUUCGACUGGUGAGCCUCCAGCCAUCAUGGCUGGCCGGUGAGGCGUCCACCCACCCUAGGAGACACCGGCGAACUGCGAGCUAGCCGGAGCAGCGCCGGCAGUUGCGCAAAUGGAGGAGUUUUCCCCAUCAAUGCGCGCAUAGUGGGCAGCAACUUUCCAAUGCGAUUCCGGUUUCAUCUAACGUCCAAUCGAGGUGAUUCAGGUGGCGUUGGAAAGCUUGUUCCGAGAGUUUUCUUUUGAUACCAAUCUUGCAACAAAUGGAGGUCGGAUGAGUGAGAUAUGGAGGAGAAAAGUUUCGGGUUUUUUAAGCUUUUGUGUCAGAUCUAGGACGAUCCAAACGUUGGAUUGACAAUCCGAGACCACCUAUGGACUGAGGGAGAGGAGAGGAAUAUAAUGGUAUGAUCAGAUCCGGCAGAUGUCGCAGGCGACCGGCGGCCGGCCACUGUGCGCGGUGAUUCCGGGGGUGACUCCGGUGAGCUUUGGAGAUGAUUCAAUUUCGAGAGACUUCCUCAUAAAUUUUUAGAAUUUUUGAGACACAGAUAAGCUUCGGGCAGUAUUAUUUUCAUUAUUUCUCUGUUUGUGGAGCAUAAAUGUAGUGUUUCUUAAAUAGGAAAAAUUAGAGAAAAAUUCUAAGAAAAAUAUAUGAUGAAAGUAAAAUUAUUUAGAGAUAUAAUAUGGUGCUUGUUGAAUUUUUGAGUGAUUAUAGAAUAUUUUUGAAAAAUAUAGAUGGAUUUUAGUUAGAUUUUUAGCAUAUAGGCAUAUAAGAUUAUUUGAAAUUAUGAUAUUUAAAUUUUAUAUGAUUGAUUGAAGCUUGAGGAUGGAGGUUUAAAUAUGUGAAUAUUGAAUUGGGUUGAAUUAAGAAUAUGUUAGCUGUUGAAAACUUAUGGAAUUGAGUAAUAUUCUUGAAUAAAAUAUUCAUGGGUGAUUAAAAAAUUACAAUCACUUUUGCGAUAGCUUUAUAACUUUAUUAAGGACCGCGGGGCGAAAUUUUAGAAUUUUUAGAGCUUGUUUGAGUGAAUUUUUAUAAACUGUCAAUUAUAGAGACUAAAACGUAAUUUUUAAGAUUUUGAGUAUUGCUUAGUUUGGAGGGCUCAGGAGGGGCCAUAUAAUGAUGAUGAGAUAUGGGUUGAGUUUAGAAGUGCUAUUUGAAUUAUUUUUUGCAGGUUGGCUAGAUCCCAGGUAUAGGAAAAAUUGUGCCAGAUUUCCGGCAUGAAUUAAGUUGUCUGUUGUCUCUUUAGAGUUUUAUUUUGGCUUAGUGCUAAUAAAUUUAUAAUAUAAUUAUUUAGGUGAUCGAUGUCAGCUAUUUUUCUCCAUCCAGCAGCCACAAUAAUCCUCGGUGUAUUGCUACAGGAGGAGUUCUUUUACAUAGCAACCUGCUUUCUUCCUUGCAGGUUUAACGUCGGUUAUUUAAUUAUUUUUAUUAUUUUUUCUAAAUUUGAAAUCUAGAACUCCACAUGUGUUAGCAGUAGUAUAGACCCUAUUAGGAAUUGUGUUAAUUUAAAUUCUUGAGGUUAAUAAAUAAAUAUUUGUAUGAUACUUGAACAAUUUGUAAAUGAUGUAACCGGGUUGAGCUAGGCUCCCCUAAUUUAAGUUUCUGAUAAUUAUUGGGUUAAGUUGAUCCGGAAUAAAAUUAUAAUAUUUUAAUUUAAA